GUUCUACACCCAGAUAAGAAAAUAAAAGAAGAAAGUCCAUAUUUUAAGAUUAUUAAGGACAUCAUUCAACAAUCUACCUAUCUUGGAGUACAAGUCGCCAAAAUCGAGAGGCGUUUCAGCGAAUUGCCACCGGAAAUGACGGAAAUUAAAUCGAGUGUAGCAAUACAAAUGGACACGGCAAUAGAAUUACGGAAUAAAAUUGAUGAGGUAGAAGCAAAUAGUAACUGUCAAAUUCAGUUUUUGUGCGGUCGCAUUUCGUCAUUAGAAGCUGAGACUACAAAUCUUAAAUCGUCAAAUGAAUUAUUAGAAGAAAAGGUAAAAUCAUUGGAAGAUAAAAAUACGAAGCUUGAGGCAAAGGUGAAAUCUUUGGAAAAUGAAAAUACGAG